GGCUCCCUGCUGAGCAGAGAGCCCGAUGCGGGACUCGAUCUCAGGAUGCUGAGAUCAUGACCUGAGCCGAAGGCAGCGGCUUAACCCACUGAGCCACCCACGCACCCCAAUUCUAGAAAGUCUUUGCUAAACUCUCCUUCCAAAUAUGAAGAACCUACCUCCCAUGGGUUGAAGAAAUUUGCCAUCUGUAGGGUAACAUUACCCUUUUUAUCUGCAGGAGAGAAGUUUCCCUCUGAUCAUAAUGGCAAAGCAGCCAAACUUACCUCCAAAAUUCUGCGCUGAACUCUACCCUCAUAUAGGACAUGUUAAUUUCUAUGUUGCUUUGUUCUUCUGCCAAAUGCUAAUGGUUUGAUAUCCAAAAUAGAUGAAGAUAAUUAACAGCAGUUGCAUAUUUUUGAGAAGCUUUGAAUUUGGUUAUUGCAGAUUUUCUAAGAUGUUGCUUUCCUUUUUUAUACAGAAAGCAUUUAUUGAGCUGGCUUCUGGACCAAGUGCUGGUGAUUCAGCUGUGAAUAACACUUCCUCUGGAGUGUUUCAGGUAAGACAAAAAUAUAAAAAAUAAGCUGUAAUGAACUUUAAUAAGUCCUUGAACAGAGGUACACAAAUUCUAUGGGAGCGUAGAGGAAAACAGAAUUGAUUCUGUGGUUCUAGGGAGGCCUUCCCAGAGCAGAAGGCAUUUGGGCAGGUCCUCAAGGAGAGGCAGGAGCUCCCUAAGUGGAGUGAGAGCACUUAAAGUAGAGAACAGAAUGACUAAAAGCUCUGAUACAUCCAAGUGCGGUGCAAGUUCUUAUUUCUUUUCAUUCCAGAUGAGACAAAUCAGGAAUCCAGGGAGAGACCCGUGUCAAGGAGGCUGCUCUCUCCAAGGGAAGACUUCUCUUCUCAGACCUGCUACAAACAGAAAUUUCAGGACUGCAGAAGCAGGGGGCUCCCCAAAACCUGGGAUCCAUGAACUCCAGAUUAAGAAUCCCUCGAGGAAAAUCUUGUUUACCGCAAGUUUACAGUGGAGAACAAAUGUCAGGGAAAGUAAGAAGAGAAUUGCUGAACAUAGUAUAUCCACUUCAGGCCAUGAGCGCACAGCAACACCCAGGAUGUUUUCCUGCCCUAGGAAGAUAUACAUGAAGCUGGAAAGUACCAGGUAUGGGGACCUCUGUCUAGUGGAGAUACGUUGGUACAGCCACUGGAAGGUUGAAAAUAGCCGCUUGGCUCCAGAAAGCCAAAUAUUUGAAAGGAUAUCAUAUCUAAAAGGAUAGGCCAACCAGUUCACAGUCGAAACCCCUUCCAUCAUCUGCGAUCACCAUUAGCAGUGUUUCAACGUUCAAAUCCAUUCCAACAACAUUUUAUAAACAAUGUGUCUGGAAGUGUGGGAGAUGAAAAAUGUCACUGAGACACGGACUCUGACACAGGGAUGGUCAUCUCUGAGUGGAGAAUACAAAUGGCCCUUGCAACAACCUGGCCCUCAAUUCUUUGACCUUCAACUUAAAUGUCUUUCUUCAAGACUCUUUCAGUUGCACACAACCUUAGCCACUCCUUUGGUAUUAUCCUCACAUGAUAUUCCUUCAUCAUCAAGAUUUCAAACUCUAAAAUUCUCUGAGACCACAAACUCUCAUUCUUCUGUCAUUCUCAUACCAAUUAAUUUUUUUUUUCUUUACUCUCAGCAUGAACUCCAGACUCCUUGAAUAUUCAUAUCCAAGCAUUCAACUGCCUUGAUUUCACUUGCCUCUUUCCUAGCCUGGAUACCCUGGACACGCGAAGUGACCCAGGACCACUAGGUGGCAGCAGUGUCUCAACUAAACUGUCCACCAGGGUGGGCACGAAGAUCAUUGGUAUUAAUAACAGGAGCCUCGAGUUUGAAGGGGCAGGGCAAAAAUGGAAUUAAACAAAAGAUAGAGAAUACAAGGAGAUCAGUCAGCUGGGGAAAGGUCUUGAGCCCCCACAUAAGUGUAAACCAGAGAAAUGGCUUGGUCUUAGCAAUGGGAGGUGGCAGUCACUCCCAAGUUCAUUGACUAAGCAUUCCAUACCUAGCCAUGUGGAUAGUCUUCCCUUGCUUUGAAAUAUUCACUGCCCAGCUUCCUUUUUAAAAAAAAAAAAAUUUGUUAUUUAUUUAUUUGUUUGACAGAGAGUGAGAGAGAGCGUGCACAAGCAUGGGGAGUGGCAGGGAGAGGGAGAAGCACGCUGAAUAGAGACCAACGUGGGGCUCCAUCCAUCCCAGACCCUGGGAUCAUGACCUGAGCCAAAGGCAGAUGCCCAACCGACUGAGCCACCCAGGCACCACCUCCUGCUUAUCUGAAGUACUUUCUAUUUAAGGCUUAAUUACUUGAUGGCAGUAAGCCUCCUGGAAUCCUUUGCUCUUAACUGCCUUGUCAGUCCCCAGUGACAAAGUCAGCUCCCUUGUCUCUCUCCUUCUGGGCAGCCAGGUGCUCCUACAGAAUGUUGGAAGGGUCUACACAUGACUCAACUCUCCGUCCAUAAUAUGUAACCUUCAGUGGGGACCUCAAGGCUGGUCACCAUUCUUCUUUACGUCCUUAGUUAACCUCUUGGGGGGCAUUGCUCAUGGAAACAAUUCUAACCCUGCUUCACUCCCUCAGGCUCCCUGGCCACAUUUCAGCUCCCCGAUCUCACAUCCUCCUUUAUCUGAAGGACUGAGACCAUCCAUCCCGUCCUUCCCCCACAGUCCUCCUCCACUGUAGCCAGAGCACAGGACCCACAGAGGCUUCCAUGGGACCUUUCUAGAGGUGGCUCAGGAAGAUGUCAGAAAUGCCACCCUCUUCCAUGCAGAGUAAUAAAAGGAUAUCCUGCAUCUCAUCUCAGAAUCAAUGUGCUUCUCUGAAAGAUACUUUACUGUCUCGGUCAUCUCAGGCUGCCACAACAGAACACGACAGCCUGGCUGGCUUAAAUAUCAGCAUUUAUAUCUCACAGUUCUGGGGCCUGGGAGGUUCCAGAUCAAGGUGCCAGCCAAUUUGGUCACUGGGGAGCAUGUGCCUGGCUUGCAGAGAACCACCUUCUCUUACACCUUUACAAGGGUCUUUUCCUCAGGCAUGCACCUCUCUCUUCCUCUUCUCAUCAGGCUGCUGAUCCCAUCAGGAGGACCUAACCCUGUGAACUACCCCAAGCCCCGUCUCCAAACACCCUCACACAUGAAUUUGGGAGUGCACAAAUAUUGAGCCCAGUACAGUUAUAAAUGUUGAUGACUGAAGUCUUCCCUAACUCACAGGAGGAAGCCCCGGGUGGCAAGUUGGACAAUUCUCAUCUGCAAAGAUAAUGAUUGCAAAUGCUUUUACUAAAAAAUUAACACACAGACAUAAAAUAGAUUCUCUUCUGGUAAAUUUCAAUUGGGCUUGUUUCCUCUUCAAUGAUUUCUGAUUCAUUUAUUCAAUCAUUGAGUUAAUAAAUACUUACUGACUUGAGCCGAGACUCCUAACCACUGCUUCUGGCCAAAUGCAGAAAUGUGUUGAUGCAGCACUUUUGCAGCAGAUAAAGAGUAUUUUAAAAGAAGAAUCAUUCAUCCAGAAUCUGUCAGAAUCACCCUCCAGCACUAUGGGAAGAGAGGUAUGUCAGUGUGUCAGCUGUGAGCUCAGAUGAAACAAUAAAGUGCCUUGGGAUGAACUUUUUUAUUAUCAUUACUCCUGAUAUUCAAGUAGCUUUCAAAGGCUUUUGAUCUAAUGAAAAGAUAACGUGUGGACGGAGACAUGUUCUAGUCCGCUUGACGGGCACAUCUUGUAGAACAGUGAUGUCAACGAGAAUUCCAUCAUUUUUAUCAGUUUGUUAUGAACUAGAUUAUUCAGGAUCAUUGCCGCCCCACCCCCAUCACUCCUGAGUGAACUAACAAGAAUGAAUUUUAAAAUCUACACUGCCAUAGACUUGACCUUGGCCUCAGAAUGAUCUCACCAGUUUGCUGACUGGCAUCCUCUGAAGUUCAGCCUGAUCCUCCUGCUCCUGAAGCUUCCACUCUUAACUUAAAGUCAUGUCCAUGGGCGCCUGGGUGGCUCAGUGGGUUAAGCCGCUGCCUUUGGCUCAGGUCAUGAUCUCAGGGUCCUGGGAUCGAGUCCCGCAUCGGGCUCUCUGCUCAGCAGGGAGCCUGCUUCCCUUCCUCUCUCUCUGCCUGCCUCUGCCUACUUGUGGUCUCUCUCUGUCAAACAAACAAACAAAUAAAUAAAUAAAUAACUUAAUAAAAAAAUAAAAAAUAAAGUCAUGUCCAUGUUAAACUGUAUUCAGUGGGUUGAAUUAAUGCACUGCUUUAAUAUUAAUAAAUUAAUUUAUGGGAUUAUAAAU
ensembl:lincRNA